rnacentral:lncRNA from 1 species
UAGUUACUGGGUGACUAGAGCCUUUGUCAUGGCAAGUACUGAUUGGAAUAAAAGUGACUGAGCAAUGUCAGGCUUUUCCCAGUUAGUACAGCCAAUUAGAGAAGGACAUAUCGCAAGGAGACAUUUGAGCAGAUGAUGAACUACACAGCGUGUAUCUUUCAAUUUUGGGGAUAGUCAAUGAGGUUGAGCUGAGCUCUGAAGUGUGAGUGGCAUUUGGGGACACAGAAGAAAGGGAUAUUUCAACAAGAAGUGGUGAGCAAAGGAGAGCAGCUGCUAAAGAGCACCAUACCUGCCCGGAGAGAAUUAUCUGGAGCCACUGCAUACUCAGGUGCCAUUGUGAGGCAUUAAAUCACUGGGGACCUGAACUCCUCCAUGGGAAAUUCCAUGGACAAUGACUAUCUUCCAAAAGCACAGCUAAGAGACCCUGACAAGACCCUGAUGUCACCAAACAAGCUUUGGACACAAUGGUGGCUAUGAACAUACACUGCUCAGAUGUCCUGCUGAUCGAAGAAUAAGUUCAAUGAUGGCUAAGAUACUAUUCCUAUGGACCUGCCAUCAUAUUCAAACUCAGUCCCCUAAACAUGGAGUCCUCGGAGCUCAGCUUGUGGCAUCUUCCUUUCCAGGGCUCUUCUGAAAGCAUAAGAACUACCUGCAACAUUAAAAUGAUUGUCUGAAAACUUCCACUGAAAACUUUUUUUCUUAUUCCUGUGGCUGCUACAUCAAAUGAUAACUUAAAAUUAUCUAAAUGUAUUAUUUGACCACUCAACACUGGCUUCCAUUCAAGACUGUGAGCCAACUACACUCUCAUCAGAGACCCUGGGAAAGUUUUUUCUUUUGCCAGUCUCUUCUUCUCAGGGGCCAGGAUUAAAGGCAUGCACCACCACUGAUGUGAUCUUAACUCUAGAAAGACAAGUGGGCCAGGCUGUGGUGGCACACACCUUUGAUCCCAACACUAGGGAGGCAGAGGCAGGCAGAUCUCUGUGAGUUCAAGGCCUGCCUGGUCUAUAGAGUGAGUCCCAGGACAACCAGAGCUACACAAAGAAACCCUGUCUCAGAAAAAAAAAGAAGAGUGAGAUGGAAGAACUUGUUAAUAUUUUCAUUAAAUAGAAGAAGCACAAAGUAAAAACAUUCAGGAAAAAGCAUGAGUUCAUAUUUUAUAAAAUUGUGAAAUAACCAAUAAAUUUGUCUUACCUAUGUCAAAAUUUGAAGAAUUAGGAGUCUUAAACUGAAACAUAAAAACUUAGCAUUAUUUUGACCAUGUUUAACAACUAUGCCACAUUCUAGAGACUAAUUUGAGGAUUUAACCUCGAUAGAACAGCUCAGCAAACAUAGGUCUGUGAAAUUAUUAAAAAGGUCAAAUUAUAAUUAUCUUACAUUAGUUGACUAAGAGACUGAAAAUAUCUUAACUCUCUAAUUAUAAUUUAGGAAAAUUAAGAGAGUACACAAUUAAAAACCCAUGGCUUUCUUGCCUUCCC